CCCUUAGAUGUCCUGGGCCGCACGCGCGUUACACUGAUGCAUUCAACGAGCUUAUAACCUUGGCCGAGAGGCCUUGGCAAUCUUGUUAACGUGCAUCGUGAUAGGGAUAGAUUAUUGAAAUUAUUAAUCUUGAACGAGGAAUUCCUAGUAAACGCAGAUCAUCAAUCUGCAUUGAUUACGUCCCUGCCCUUUGUACACACCGCCCGUCGCACCUACCGAUUGGAUGGUCCGGUGAAGCCUCGGGAUUGUGGUUCUUGCCGCUUUAUUGUAGCGUGACCGCGAGAACUUGUCUAAACCUUAUCAUCUAGAGGAAGGUGAAGUCGUAACA
rnacentral:rRNA from 1 species